rnacentral:lncRNA from 1 species
CCGGGUCAACAGCCUAUUGGCCACUAUCUCCUCACUCUGCCCCUCCACGACUUCCACCACCACCUCAGCUCUCUCUCUCGUCUCUAUUCGCAUUCCACCGCCGACUAACGGUGCCUCAGCUCUCACUAUCAUGUCUCUUCCCCUUCCACCGCGACCACCGGCGCUUCUCACUCUAGUCGCUCACCUCCCAGGAUCCAAAUUGAAAUAUUUCUGUAAGGGACUCUUCAAAUUAAUACCCACCCCUGUUUUGAACUUAUUUAUUUGUUUCCCUUUCUAUAAGUGUACUAUUUGAAGAAUGCAUACAUCGACAUGAUGCUUAAGCUGGCAAAAAACACAGGUUCUGGAAUUAAUCUUUUGGGUUCGAAAAGAAUCCCUUUCGACAGAUUCCAAAUAGGGAUUCAAGAAGUGAAUUUGAGAAUAGAUUGGUGAUUGAGAUUUACAAAAAUAUGGUGGCUUCUUAUGAAUUGGAUUCUAACCGAUAAGCAUGAAAUGAUUAUUAAGUUUUUUUUUUUUUUUUUUUUUUCUUUUUUUCCCCCUUUGUUGUUGUUUAUGCAUGUUUAGAUGUGAGAAACUCACACUAUCUUCAACUAUAAAUAAGUUCAAAUACUUCUUUAAAUAGUAUUUAGUUGUGGAGUCGGGGUUACUGAACAGAAGUAUGGUACAUCAAUUCAGAUACUGGACUCAUCAGGCCUUGAUAAAAUUAUUAAUUAUUUCAAGAACGAUGGAAAAGGAAUGGAUAUCAAACAAAUAAUUGACAAGUACUGAGAAUUGAGUGAAAAACCAUUGAUUACUAUCAGUGAUUUGUUACAAUACACUUUUGCUAAUCCUCGUGGAUAUAAGUUGAAAACAGAGGACAGUCCAAUGAGUUUCAGAACAUUUGUGAAUUUAUUGGCAAAAUGUGAUUGCAGAUGGGCUUCUAAGAGACUUGAGCAUGUGCUAGUUGUAAUUAUAAAGCUCUUGAAUGAGCAAAAAGCUAAUAAUCUUAAUAGAAAAUGUGGUAAGUCUAGGCAUGAGCUAAGGGAAGAGGCAAGAAAAUCUAUUGGGGACACAGGUUUAAUUGAUUUUGUGCUCAAAUCUAUCAAAUCUUUUGUAGUGAAUAAUCCAAUUAUUCGACGAACAAUAAAUCCACUAACUCGAUUAGUGGAAUUUACAAUUUAUGUUGUUGCUAAAGAAGCGGAAGGAUAGUGGCCAAUUUCAAGAAAGGAUUCUGGUUGUAGAUAUUCAAGAAAUAAACUGGAACAAGCAGCAAAAGUUGUGGUGAAUAUUUUGAUAUUUAGGAGAUGAUUCAAUCCUCAACAAAUGUCUUGCUUGCUUUUAGUUGUUUUGUUUUGUAUAUAAAAUGUUUAUUGUUUUGUUUUGCAAAUCUGAUAAAUCAUAUGGCAAGUUACUUAUCUUUAUUACAUGUUUUAAAUUUUAAUUGUUUGAUUUGGAGCAAGCAAGGUGGAAGAAGAUUAAAGAGGGUGGCAUUUGGACAAUUGGCCCAUCAAUUUAUCUAAGAAGGAAUAUUAAUACAAUGUGGAGCCUGCUUUGUUGAGGUGAAGAUUUUAACUAAAUUCUGAAGUGAUGUAUAAUAUCUAAUCUAUCUAUCAUGACAAGGUCAGCACUCUGAUGGAUAUAUAGUUUAUAUUAUAAACGAUAUCAUAACUAAAUCUUUAAGUGAUUUCUUUAUUAGAAGCAAGAGGUUAAGCAAUACCGUUUUUAAGCAAUACAGCAGUGAUGAGCUGAAUAUCAGUUGGAGCAUAGAAGUUAUGAAAAUGGUGUUAGUGGUGUUGAAGAUUCUGUGGAAGAAGAGUGCAUUCCGAUGAAACAUGAUGGGCACAUCAGUUGGGAGCUUGAGUAUUGGCAAUAAAUCACACCGUGUUAUUUGGAGAAUACAAGUGUAAGGGCCAUGGAGCAGAUAAAGGACGAACAGUGUCGUGGUCGAAAGCUCUGAAUUUUGGUUUGUAAUUAUUAUAUGUAUGCUAGUAAUCAAAUAAAUGAACAAUUUGCACGCCGUAAAAAAAUUAUGUUCUUUUAUUUACGACGUGCAUAUGCACGCCAUAAAAAAUGACUUUUAUUUACAGCUUUUUACGGCAUGCAAUGCACGCCGUAAAAAGUACAUUUUGUUGUAGUAAAUGACAUCAUCAAUUCAAAUCUUCAAUUGAAUCUUCAGGUCUUCAAAUUAAUCUUCGUGUUCCUUACCUCGUUCUUUGCUCCAAAAAC